GAUGAACGCUGGCGGCGUGCCUAAUACAUGCAAGUCGAGCGAACAGACGAGGAGCUUGCUCCUCUGACGUUAGCGGCGGACGGGUGAGUAACACGUGGAUAACCUACCUAUAAGACUGGGGUAACUUCGGGAAACCGGAGCUAAUACCGGAUAAUAUAUUGAACCGCAUGGUUCAAUAGUGAAAGACGGUGUUGCUGUCACUUAUAGAUGGAUCCGCGCCGCAUUAGCUAGUUGGUAAGGUAACGGCUUACCAAGGCAAGGAUGCGUAGCCGACCUGAGAGGGUGAUCGGCCACACUGGAAGUGAGACACGGUCCAGACGCCUACGGGAGGCAGCAGUAGGGAAUCUUCCGCAAGGGGCGAAAGCCUGACGGAGCAACGCCGCGUGAGUGAUGAAGGUCUUCGGAUCGUAAAACUCUGUUAUUAGGGAAGAACAAAUGUGUAAGUAACUAUGCACGUCUUGACGGUACCUAAUCAGAAAGCCACGGCUAACUACGUG
rnacentral:rRNA from 1 species